rnacentral:rRNA from 1 species
AGGGUUUGAUUCUGGCUCAGGAUGAACGCUAGCUACAGGCUUAACACAUGCAAGUCGCGGGGCAGCAGGUACAGAAGCUUGCUUCAGUACGCUGGCGACCGGCGCACGGGUGAGUAACGCGUAUCCAACCUGGCCCAUACCACGGGACAGCCCGUCGAAAGGCGGAUUAAUACCGUAUGCAGUCAUUAGGGAGCAUUUUUUGAUGACGAAAGGAUUUGGCGGUAUGGGAUGGGGAUGCGUCUGAUUAGCUUGUUGGCGGGGUAACGGCCCACCAAGGCGACGAUCAGUAGGGGUUCUGAGAGGAAGGUCCCCCACAUUGGAACUGAGACACGGUCCAA